rnacentral:tRNA from 1 species
GGAGAGGUGGCAGAGUGGUCGAAUGCGCCGGAUUCGAAAUCCGGUUUACAGGUCUCCUGUAACGAGGGUUCGAAUCCCUCCUUCUCCGCCA